rnacentral:lncRNA from 1 species
CUUCAUGUAUUUUUAGGCAAACAUUUAAGAAUUUCCUCUUUAAAGUCUAAUUAUUCGGCGUUUCAUUUAUGUUUGCAGAUCACUCCACAGUCAUGCUCAUCAUGUAUGCUCCACCACGUCUUUGACUCACACACAGAAUGAAAUCAAGUUAAACUGUCUGGUAUUCAGCGGGGGCUCAGUCAAUGUGAAAGAAAUGAAUUCUCCACACCCCACAGACGCGGACGCUGGGGCUCAGAGAGGUAGAGAGACUUGUCCACGGUGGAAAGGCAAACCCUGA